rnacentral:rRNA from 1 species
UACUGAGGUCCCGAGCGUUGUUCGGAUUCACUGGGCGUAAAGGGUGCGUAGGUGGCUUGAAAAGUUUGAUGUGAAAGCUCAGGGCUUAACCCUGAAAUGGCAUUGAAUACUGUCGGGCUGGAGGUUUGGAGGGGGGACUGGAAUUCUUGGUGUAGCAGUGAAAUGCGUAGAUAUCAAGAGGAACACCAGUGGCGAAGGCGAGUCCCUGGACAACACCUGACACUGAGGCACGAAAGCUAGGGGAGCAAACAGG